rnacentral:rRNA from 1 species
UGGGGAAUAUUGGACAAUGGGCGAAAGCCUGAUCCAGCCACGCCGCGUGAGUGAUGAAGGCCUUCGGGUUGUAAAGCUCUGUGGGGAAGGAAGAAAAAGGUGAGUUCGAAUAGGGCUCGCCCUUGACGGUACUUCCUUAGCAAGCACCGGCUAACUCUGUGCCAGCAGCCGCGGUAAGACAGAGGGUGCAAACGUUGCUCGGAAUUACUGGGCGUAAAGCGCGCGUAGGUGGUCUUGUGUGUCUAUCGUGAAAGCACACGGCUCAACCGUGUAAAGUCGGUGGAAACUGCAGGACUUGAGGUUGGAGGGGCUGGUGGAAUUCCCUGUGUAGCGGUGAAAUGCGUAGAGAUGGGGGAGAACACUUGUGGCGAAGGCGGCCAGCUGGACCAAUCCUGACACUGAGGCGCGACAGCGUGGGGAGCAAACAGGAUUAGAUACCCCCGUAGUCCCUGAGCGGGCUGGCAAGGCGCAU